AGUGAACGCUGGCGGUAGGCCUAACACAUGCAAGUCGAACGGCAGCACAGUAAGAGCUUGCUCUUACGGGUGGCGAGUGGCGGACGGGUGAGGAAUACAUCGGAAUCUACUUUUUCGUGGGGGAUAACGUAGGGAAACUUACGCUAAUACCGCAUACGACCUACGGGUGAAAGCAGGGGAUCUUCGGACCUUGCGCGAUUGAAUGAGCCAAUGUCGGAUUAGCUAGUUGGCGGGGUAAAGGCCCACCAAGGCGACGAUCCGUAGCUGGUCUGAGAGGAUGAUCAGCCACACUGGAACUGAGACACGGUCCAGACUCCUACGGGAGGCGGCAGUGGGGAAUAUUGGACAAUGGGCGCAAGCCUGAUCCAGCCAUACCGCGUGGGUGAAGAAGGCCUUCGGGUUGUAAAGCCCUUUUGUUGGGAAAGAAAAGCAGCAGGUUAAUACCCCGCUGUUCUGACGGUACCCAAAGAAUAAGCACCGGCUAACUUCGUG
rnacentral:rRNA from 1 species